rnacentral:misc_RNA from 1 species
AAUACAUCAAUGUAGACUUGUCUUUUGACUUGCUCUACACUUGGAAGUUGAAGGCUUGCUGGUUGUCAUGAUCAGCUCCUUUUAAAUUCAUUAGCGGGACUUUUGAAGACUUGGCUUCAGUUUGAUACAAUGUCUAUGCUGUCGCUAAGGAACGGUUUAGUCUGGCUUAUAAUUGUCCUUUGGGACUGCCUCUAGUGGGCAUAACAAACUUUGAU